GACGAACGCUGGCGGCGUGCUUAACACAUGCAAGUCGAGCGGUAAGGCCCUUUCGGGGGUACACGAGCGGCGAACGGGUGAGUAACACGUGGGUGACCUGCCCUUAGCUCUGGGAUAAGCCUGGGAAACCGGGUCUAAUACUGGAUAUGACUCCAUGACGCAUGUUGUGGGGUGGAAAGCCUUGUGCGGCUGAGGAUGGGCCCGCGGCCUAUCAGCUUGUUGGUGGGGUGAUGGCCUACCAAGGCGACGACGGGUAGCCGGCCUGAGAGGGCGACCGGCCACACUGGGACUGAGACACGGCCCAGGACUCCUACGGGAGGCAGCAGUGGGGAAUCUUACGCAAUGGGCGAAAGCCUGACGCCAGCGACGCCGCGUGAGGGAUGACGGCCU
rnacentral:rRNA from 1 species